rnacentral:misc_RNA from 1 species
GAUGAAGAACGUAGCGAAAUGCGAUAAGUAGUGUGAAUUGCAGAAUUCAGUGAAUCAUCGAAUCUUUGAACGCACAUUGCGCCCCUUGGUAUUCCAUGGGGCAUGCCUGUUGGAGCGUCAUUUGUACCUUCAAGCUUUGCUUGGUGUUGGGUGUUUGUCCCUCGGGACUCGCCUUAAAGUCAUUGGCAGCCAGUGUUUUGGUUUUGAAGCGCAGCACAAGUCGCGAUUCAAGGCUAUCCGCCCGCUUCCACAAGCCUUUUUCACUUUUGACCUCGGAUCAGGUAGGGAUACCCGCUGAACUUAAGCAUAUCAAUAAGCGGAGGA